CAGUAGCCGCGGUAAUACGUAGGUGGCAAGCGUUGUCCGGAAUUAUUGGGCGUAAAGGGCUCGCAGGCGGAUCACGCAGUCAGAUGUGAAAUUCCUGGGCUUAACCUGGGGGCUGCAUUUGAGACGCGUGGUCUAGAGUGUGAAAGAGGGUCGUGGAAUUCCCAGUGUAGAGGUGAAAUUCGUAGAUAUUGGGAAGAACACCGGUGGCGAAGGCGGCGACCUGGUUCAUGACUGACGCUGAGGCGCGAAAGCGUGGGGAGCAAACAGGAUUAGAGACCCCCGUAGUCCCUGUCUCUUAUAC
rnacentral:rRNA from 1 species